UACGUAGGGUGCAAGCGUUAAUCGGAAUUACUGGGCGUAAAGCGUGCGCAGGCGGUUUUGUAAGUCAGAUGUGAAAUCCCCGGGCUUAACCUGGGAAUGGCAUUUGGGACUGCAAGGCUGGAGUGUGGCAGAGGAGACGUGGAAUUCCCGGUGUAGCAGUGAAAUGCGUAGAUAUCGGGAGGAAUACCGAUGGCGAAGGCAGGUCUCUGGGCUGACACUGACGCUCAUGCACGAAAGCGUGGGGAGCAAACAGG
rnacentral:rRNA from 1 species